GUAGGAAGUGUGUCGGUGCGGGCAGAUGGUAAGUAGCGGAAAUGAUACAGCUGUCGGUGUAGGGCUUAACUAAAAUGAGAAAUGUUAUUUUACUUGCAUCGGCUAACGCUAGCUUUCUUCGGUAUGUUGCUCGAAGUAUUUAAUCCGAGUUUACACAGGGCCACUGUUUUGAAACCACACUGCCGAUAUCAAGUUAAGGCUGUUAGCGAAAAGCAGCACGUGCUUUAAACAAGCAUAUCUUGCAUUUAAACUAUACUGACACAGAAUUGGCUAGUUUUACUCCUUGACAGUAAUACAUAGGUCAGAUUGCAAAUUGACGUCAACUGGUUAAGUCUGUACUGGUCUCUUAUGAUGCAUUGCACUGGGCUCUGAAAUAUCUUUGGCGAUAACGUGCUGCUCUGCUACUGACAUGGCAGAGUCUGAGGAGACUACUGGUGUCUUCAUGUCCUGUGUGAAGUGUGUUAUUUUUUGGUCUAAUGGGUUCCUUAUAUUAUUUACAGCUUGCAGUGCCGCCACCGAAGGCGUCCAAGUUUCACAGGUUAGUUUCUUUGAUUUCCGAUAUCAGUACAACAAAACUAAUGUUAAACAGCCUUCAAUGAUGUCUUGCACUGGGCUCUGACUGUUAGUGGGGAAAACGUGCGACUCCGCUCUUGACAUGGCGGAUUCUGAGGCGGCUGUGAAUUGUAGACUACCUCUUGGUAUUCAUCAGCUAUGUGGGUUUGUUUCUCAAAGUUGUUGUAUUCUCUUUCAGAUGAAUGUUUGAGAUUCUCAACAGGAGGGCGGCAGUCAACAAGAUCGGUGAAUUUGUAUUCGUUUCAAAAUGGUGACCUGUUUAAAGAAACAAAAAAAAGAUGCUUUCUACACCUCCUGGCCAGACAUCUCAUUCAUUCCACAUUGCUUUCCUCCUUCCUCAACCUUGUGCGCUAGGCACAGACCACAGAAGUAACCCUACGCCCUUUACCAAUGAAGGUGGCCCAGUCAGAAUCUCUUUCCAUGCGGAUGGGUACAGCAAAACUUCACAGUGGGAUGGAGCAGGUAAUAGAGCCAGGCAUGGGCCGACGAGUCUCUGAGGCGUUUGGGUCUCCCUCACAGGAGGUGGCAGUGAGCGGUUGUGUCAAAGGACAAGGGGGGG
ensembl:lncRNA